UACGGAGGGUGCAAGCGUUAUCCGGAUUCACUGGGUUUUAAGGGUGCGUAGGUGGGUUGGUAAGUCAGUGGUGAAAUCUCCGGGCUUAACCUGGAAACUGCCAUUGAUACUAUCAAUCUUGAAUACCUUGGAGGUGAGCGGAAUAUGUCAUGUAGCGGUGAAAUGCUUAGAUAUGACAUAGAACACCAAUUGCGAAGGCAGCUCACUACACGGUCAUUGACACUGAGGCACGAAAGCGUGGGGAUCAAACAGG
rnacentral:rRNA from 1 species